rnacentral:rRNA from 1 species
GUAGGGAAUCUUGCGCAAUGGGCGAAAGCCUGACGCAGCCAUGCCGCGUGAAUGAUGAAGGUCUUAGGAUUGUAAAAUUCUUUCACCGGGGACGAUAAUGACGGUACCCGGAGAAGAAGCUCCGGCUAACUUCGUGCCAGCAGCCGCGGUAAUACGAAGGGGGCUAGCGUUGCUCGGAAUUACUGGGCGUAAAGGGCGCGUAGGCGGACAGCUUAGUCAGAGGUGAAAGCCCAGGGCUCAACCUUGGAAUUGCCUUUGAUACUGGCUGUCUUGAGUUUGGGAGAGGUGAGUGGAACUCCGAGUGUAGAGGUGAAAUUCGUAGAUAUUCGGAAGAACACCAGUGGCGAAGGCGACUCACUGGCCCAAUACUGACGCUGAGGCGCGAAAGCGUGGGGAGCAAACAGGAUUAGAUACCCCGGUAGUCC